CCCAAUCAGCUUGAUGCUGAGGAGAAGGGCUGUGCAGCAGAGAGGCUGUUUAGUUUCUUCAUUCUACUGCAGUGGAAGAACAUUGAUCAUCUGCUGUCUGUUUGGUUUCAACAACUCCAAAGACAUGUUGCUUUACCUCUUUAUACUUUUAUCUCACUUUAUAGCCAUGGGUUCCAUGAACAGCAUAAAGCCAGAAAAUACUGAAGAACGUGUUGCAGAGGGAGGAAACAUCAACCUGACCUGUAAAUAUGAGGGUUCUAUCUACAAUAUCCAGUGGUACCGACAAUACCAGCGAUCCAGACCAGAGUUCCUGCUCUCCAUCACAGAGGACGGAUCGAUUUAUCCAACUUUGAGCUAUAAAACCCAAAUGGAUCUGCAGAUCUCCUCUGCUGCAGUGACAGACUCUGCUCUGUACUACUGUGCUGUGAGGCCCACAGUGACAGCAAAGGGCCACAUUAUCAAGUAG